rnacentral:rRNA from 1 species
CCUACGGGAGGCAGCAGUGGGGGAUAUUGCACAAUGGGGGGAACCCUGAUGCAGCGACGCCGCGUGGGUGAAGAAGCGCCUCGGCGCGUAAAGCCCUGUCAGCAGGGAAGAAAAUGACGGUACCUGACGAAGAAGCCGCGGCUAACUACGUGCCAGCAGCCGCGGUAAUACGUAGGGGGCAAGCGUUAUCCGGAUUUACUGGGUGUAAAGGGGGCGCAGACGGCGAUGCAAGCCAGGAGUGAAAGCCCGGGGCCCAACCCCGGGACUGCUCUUGGAACUGCGUGGCUGGAGUGCAGGAGGGGCAGGCGGAAUUCCUGGUGUAGCGGUGAAAUGCGUAGAUAUCAGGAGGAACACCGGUGGCGAAGGCGGCCUGCUGGACUGCAACUGACGUUGAGGCCCGAAAGCGUGGGGAGCAAACAGGAUUAGAUACCCGGGUAGUC